rnacentral:tRNA from 1 species
GGAGACGUGGCAGAGUGGUUGAACGCGCCGCACUCGAAAUGCGGUAUACCCGAAAGGGUAUCGGAGGUUCGAAUCCUCCCGUCUCCG